UAUUGUCACCUUGUUUAUUUAACUUAUAUGCAGAGUACAUCAUGAGAAAUACUGGGCUGGAUGAAGCACUGGCUGGAAUCAAGAUUUCUGGGAGAAAGAUCAAUAACCUCAGAUAUGCAGAUCACACCACACUUCUGUCCGAAAGUGAAGAAGAACUAAAGAGCCUCUUGAUGAAAUCACAGAAACACUGGAUAGUACCAGCUGCUGCUGCUUCUGAAUUAUGAGGCUUGCCAUGCUUCACUUCUUCAGUGGAUAGCUUUAUUUCUGCAAAGUGCAUAGAAUGAAGUUGUAGCCUGCAGUCACUGAAAGACCUAAAUGAAUGUGUAAGAAUGACCACAAGGCACCAGGCG
rnacentral:lncRNA from 1 species